AUGAUCGGCUUCCAACUCAGUCUCCGCGGACAGGUCCGUCGGUCCAUUGUCCGGUUUGCGGGGGACCUUAGGGAUGCUAUAGCCCGCAAGGGUGAAACUGGAAGCAACUUAGUACAGCUAACCGUGCAUCGCAGGGGCAGGACAAACAUCAUGCAGACUUCGAGGUCAACACGCGCAUGCAAGACUAGCAGAGCCAAGACCCAUUUUCCCCGGCUGGCUGAGAUUUUAAAUAUGCCGCAACCGGGCAACGAUCAGCUCACACGUCACGCGGAGUCUCGAGGAGCAGCUCUCCUACUGUCACACUGGCUACUAGUACUACUCAGAACUGUACGCUAUUACCGGUGUAGUUCAGUGCUCUCUGCUCAGCCUACGUACACAGCUCGAUCGAUGAUGUACCGGAGGAUAACCGCCCGGCUGCUCGUCGUCGCCGCCGUCGUCCUCCUGUCCCUGCUGCUGGCCUCCUGCGCGGCCGUCCCGCGUGGCCUUGGCCUGCCGCCGCCGCGUCCUCCUCCGGGUACGUACGUGUAUACCCACCGAAGUUUCCUUUGGACGUUCCAAAUGCUAGCUCUUGUUCUUGUUGUGUGCAUGAAUGGGUGCGUCCAUGUGAUGGCAGUGCUGCUCCUAGGCGGCGGCCGGAGCCCGGCGCGCGAGGGGAUGGAGCUGGAUCUGGGAACGCCCGCGAGGCGGCUGGGGCAGCAAACGUCGACGAAUGUGCCUCCCUCGCCGAAGCCCCACGGCAACUCGGGGUCGGCGGGGCCCGACACGCCGCCGUCGAGCAACGAGUAG
rnacentral:rRNA from 1 species